UCUCGUUAUCAAUAUAUUUAGGUCAUUUCACAGUAUACGGUAAUUAAUUAACGCAAUUGACAUUGGGGUCUCGUAUUUUAAUUUGUUUAGCUACAACCGCUUGUGUGUUUCUUAAAGAGCUCAGUUCAUCUCGGUUUUAUAUUCUUUAAAAAAAAUGAAUCAUAUUAUGAUGUACGCCUUGUUGGCCACAGUGGCGGUGUUAGAUUUCGUUGCACCUACGCCAGUCACACUGUGUGUAUACAGGACAUGUUCCAAUACCGGAAUGGCUUGCCCUACUGGAGCCAUACUCCAAAUUCGAAAUGGUUAUCGUGGAGAGGUGUACGCCGAGCGCUGGAGGGAUUUGUUUCAAGAAAAAUGUUCCAAUGAUUGGGUUUUCUGUGUUCGACUAGUACCGAAUUCUGGAGAUUUGUACUUCAGAUAUGCAAAUCGAGAAAGGAGAAUUCCUGAAAGUUCCCGACACUCAGCCGUCAGUGAUUGGUGUAGAGACAUGUCUGGAGUGGAGUACUGGUUCGAUGUUUGAAGAUCUGUUUAGAGUACCAUCAAUGCUUGAAGUGCGUUGAUUAAAUAUGAGAUGCUUAUUAAAGCGCACUUUACGAAGUGAAA